rnacentral:rRNA from 1 species
UGGGGAAUAUUGCACAAUGGGCGCAAGCCUGAUGCAGCCAUGCCGCGUGUAUGAAGAAGGCCUUCGGGUUGUAAAGUACUUUCAGCGAGGAGGAAGGCGUUGUGGUUAAUAACCGCAGCGAUUGACGUUACUCGCAGAAGAAGCACCGGCUAACUCCGUGCCAGCAGCCGCGGUAAUACGGAGGGUACAAGCGUUAAUCGGAAUUACUGGGCGUAAAGCGCACGCAGGCGGUAUGUCAAGUCGGAUGUGAAAUCCCCGGGCUCAACCUGGGAACUGCAUCCGAAACUGGCAGGCUAGAGUCUUGUAGAGGGGGGUAGAAUUCCAGGUGUAGCGGUGAAAUGCGUAGAGAUCUGGAGGAAUACCGGUGGCGAAGGCGGCCCCCUGGACAAAGACUGACGCUCAGGUGCGAAAGCGUGGGGAGCAAACA